AGAAUCCAACCAAUGAAUCAGAAUCACUAACCCAUAAUCCCAACCUGUAAAACCCACGAGAAUCAGUUUUCUAAAACUGAUUACCAUAACUCGCCAGACGUCCCGAAAAUCGCACCGGGACUCCGUCGGGACCCGCGAACUGUCCGGAAACUCACCAACUCGUGCCACGAGUCACCCGCUGCCACUAAACACAAUAAUUUGUGUGACCAGGCAGCAAACACAUCACCUCACAUCGAAACGAUCGUCGUCGGAUAAUCGUUCCGAUCCGUUCCCGAAAGUGUCAAUUUCGACACCGGAACCUACCGUCGCUCACCCGUCGUUUUCGAACCCUCAAAACGAUGCGAGUGACC
rnacentral:lncRNA from 1 species